rnacentral:rRNA from 1 species
CCUACGGGUGGCAGCAGUGGGGGAUAUUGCACAAUGGGGGCAACCCUGAUGCAGCGACGCCGCGUGAGGGAAGAAGCCCCUCGGCGUGUAAAGCUCUGUCAGCAGGGAAGAAAAGGACGGUACCUGACGAAGAAGCCCCGGCGAACUACGUGCCAGCAGCCGCGGUAAUACGUAGGGGGCAAGCGUUAUCCGGAUUUACUGGGUGUAAAGGGGGCGUAGACGGGGUGGCAAGCCAGGAGUGAAAGACCGGGGCCCAACCCCGGGACUGCUCUUGAAACUGUGUGGCUAGAGUGCAGGAGGGGCAGGCGGAAUUCCUGGUGUAGCGGUGAAAUGCGUAGAUAUCAGGAGGAACACCAGUGGCGAAGGCGGCCUGCUGGACUGCAACUGACGUUGAGGCCCGAAAGCGUGGGGAGCAAACAGGAUUAGAUACCCGAGUAGUC